rnacentral:rRNA from 1 species
AUGGCGCAGCCAGACGACGGCGACAAAGCACUAGAUCAAUCAACAUAUAUGGCAGCACAUCCAUCGGGACCUCCUCUGCCCACAUCUCCACUCAUGUCGCCAUGGAACACAGUUCCACCAUGGACGAGCAGCGCAACAAGAAACGAUCAGGAUUUUCAAGAUGGAAAUAUGGCAGCCCAUCCAUCGGAACCUGCUCUACCCACACCUCCUCCACUGAUGCAAUCGCAGAACACAAUUCCACCGAGGAUGAGCAGCACAGCAAGGAACGAUCAGGAUUUGCAAGAUGAAAAUAUUGUUCCAAGAGUUGGGAAGACCUUUCAGUGUGAGGAAGAGGCAUAUCAGUUUUACAAUUCUUAUGCUCAAACCAAAGGAUUCAGCAUUAGGAAGUGCCACCUUAAGCAUAGAGGAGAUGGGUCUUUAAGUUCUAGAUAUUUUGUUUGUAGCAAGGCAGGUGUGAAGGGCACUCAUCCAACACAUGUAGCCAAGAAAGAACAAGCUAAUUCGAGGACUGAUUGCAUGGCUCGUGUUCAAUUCAGCAUCACUCGGGAGGGUAUUUGGAAUGUGCAGAAAGUCAUGCUCGAUCAUAAUCAUCAGCUUGUAAGUCCAGAUAAGAGGCACAUGCUUAGAUCGCAGCGUCAACUCUUAGAUGCCGAUCGCCAUAUGAUUAAGCAGAUGAGGACAUCGGGAAUUAAACAAGCUGAAAUAUAUGAUUUCUGUGAGCUUUGGUAUGGUAAAGAUGCAGUACCCUCCUUGCAAAUGGAUUGCAACAAUUUUUUACGAAGUGAGCGCUCAAAGUAUUUGGAAACCAAAGAUGCUCAAACAUUAACAGAGUAUCUAAAGAACGAGCAAGCUGAGGACCCUUCGUUUUUCUACGCCAUGCAACUAGAUGAUGAUGAUGGCACAAUAAUGAAUAUCUUCUGGACCGAUGGACAAGCUAUCAUGGAUUACUCUGUCUUUGGAGAUGCCAUUUCCUUUGACACCAUAUUUUCAACAAAUAAGUUUCAAAUGCCAUUCGCUCCGUUUAUUGGUGUUAAUCAUCACAAACAGACUAUUCUUUUUGGUGCAGCGCUCUUAUAUAAUGAAACUGCAGAUACCUUUAAGUGGGUUUUUAGAACCUUCCUACAAGCUAUGUCUGGUAAGCAGCCUGAAACAAUAUUCACCGAUCAAUGUGCUGCCAUUAUAAAUGCUAUUGGAAGGGUUUUUCCGGAAACACGACAUCGUCUUUGUUUAUGGCAUUUGUACCAGAAUGCCGCUAAACAUCUAAGCCAUGUAAUUAGCGACCAUCCUUUGUUCCUUAAAGAAUUCAAAAGAUGUGUGUAUGAAGAUAGAUCAGUGGCGCAUUUUGAGAAUAGAUGGCAUGAGCUCUUGGUUAAGUACCAGAUUGGGGGAAAUUCUUGGAUAAACAAUCUGUACAAGUUGCAUGAGAAGUGGGCUACUAUUUAUCGUCGGGAGUCUUUUAGUGCAGACAUGACAUCAACACAAAGGAGUGAAGGAAUGAACAAUGUGUUCAAGAAAACUUUCUGCAAAAGACUAUGCCUUUCAGAAUUGAUACAAUCAUAUGAGAAGUGCAUUGCUCGUCUUCGCCGGAAAGAAAAAUACGUAGACUACAAGUCACGCCAUACCAAUCCAGUACUCUGCCUACCUAGCCUACCUUUGUUGAAGACUGCAGCGGAAUCAUAUACCAGGACACUCUAUUCCGAGUUCGAAGAAGAAUUCAAGAAGCAAUUUAGUUUGUCAUGUAUUUUGUUGAGCACCAAUUACACAGUUAGCACUUACAAGUUGACAUCUUUUGAAUACAAGAAUGAUGAAGCCAUAGUGGCUUUUAAUCCAACUACUUUGGAGAUAUCGUGUUCAUGCAAGUUGUAUUGCUGUAUAGGUACGCAACAUGCUUCCUCACUUCCUUAA